rnacentral:lncRNA from 1 species
AAGACUAACUUAUAUUUGGUUCUUUAUUUGUUUCACUUCUUUCUAGGAAUAUCAUGGAUACCUUUAAUUGAAAAGGUUCUGUUGUACAUUCAAACAUGAAAUGCAAAUUAACAAUUGGUUUUAUGAACACGCUUCCCGUUAUUAGAGGGAAAAGUAUAUAUACAAGACUACUUGUUUAAAUAGACAAAUAUACGUAAAUUCCGGGAUAUGAAUUUUUCCUUAUACUUCGUUAUCAAACUUGUGUAAUGACAAGAUCAUGCCAAAAUGAAGGAAGAGCUUAGCCUUAACAUACCUUUUUCUUGAAUUAUUUGAAUGAAUCUGCUUUUGCGAAAUUUACACCUGGAUGAACUUAAAAUCUCGGACGAAAUUAUUCUGCUUCUAACGUUUUUGAACGAAAUGUUGGCUAAGGAUUGAAUUGAAAUUAGACGAAUUUAACUUACUUGGAUUUGUUGAAGUUGAACUUUGCUUGGAUUUAAACAUUUUGACGAAAAGAUUCUGCUUUUU